rnacentral:lncRNA from 1 species
CGUUAAAAUAUCUCUCUCUCUUCUCUCUACCCACUUACAAAUCACUACCCUCUCUCUCAUCAAUUCAACCGAGCCGGGAGGAAGAACUCGACGACUCUCUGCUUCCAGAUCUGGGUAAUCAUUCCAAGAAUCUGGGUUUAUGGUAUUUUCUCGAUGACUUUGACAAUCACCGCCUCCUAAAACUCACCGACUUAUGAAGUUUUCGAUUUCCACAAGGAUUGUACCGCGAAUUUGACCGUUCAGAUCAAUACGGUAAGUUUAUCUAGCCGUUUAUAUCCCCUCUAAUUGUCUAUAAAUUGGAUCGCCUAGCCUUGUUCAUCAAUCAUUAGGAAGCCGGUGGUCCGGGUUGGUAUUAUUUUUCGGUGUUGCUUUUGUUAUUGGUGGUCGUGUGUCAUUGAUUUCAAUUAUUGGAUUGAGCAUAGGAAAUUCGAUGGUACAUAUACAAGAUGUAAGAAGGCCAAGCAAGCACAUGGUGGGGAAAGCCAACAACUUGACAGCAGGGCUCAAUAGGAGUCUCUAGAAGGAUGCUGAGUCAGUAAAAUUGUUAGGGACUAUUAGUUAGUUUGUUAGAGUUACUUGGGGGAAGGGUAUAAAUAAAACAUGUAAGGAGAGGGGAGGGGAUGUGAAAGAAAUCAAGUAAGAAUUAGGGGAAUGGAGAAUCGUAAUUUCCAUUAAGUUCUCAUUUACAGUACUUAUUUCAUUUUGAAUCUAUAUUACAGAAAAUUUCCCCAAAAUUCCUCAUUCUCAGUAUUCUCUUCUCUAUUGCAGUGAGCCUUAAUAUUGUCUAUCUGGGAAAGAUUUCUAUCCGCUGCUUAAUUUCAAAACUUCACUCUAUCUUACUCCCAGUAUGGUGAAUAAACUAUUGUUGGUCCCUAGUGAAUUUGAUUCUUGAAGUGCACAGACUCCUAAGUGGAGAUUUAGUCCACUAUCAGAUUUUCACAACUACUCAAUAUUUGAUAAGUAUUCAUUUGUGUUUUGAAUGUGGAAUUUUCUUUAAAGGAGAUGAUAACUAAUUAGCAGUCUACCUUUAUAUCUAGUAUGAAAGUAUCUUUUUGUGCUGUGAUGGUUGAUUUUUAAAUGAAGUGGUUCAUCAUGGUAUUGG